AAUGCGAUGAUGAUUCAUAUGGUUUUGGCAGUGGUUAGCCAUUUGGUCACCGUGAGCCGUCAAACCAAAAAACGACUUCUCUUUCCACUGAGCAUU
rnacentral:snoRNA from 1 species